GCAAGGGCAGUGACUGGAAGCUGGGAGAGAGGGUCAACAGCUGAAUCUCAGCCUGAUAGAGGCC
rnacentral:antisense_RNA from 1 species